GGUUCUCCAUUGAAUAGAUUGUUUACUUUGCCUGUUUCAUUGUUAGUGUUGAGGCCAAAGGUUGUCUUUUUUGUUUUUGGCAUAUCAAUAGAAAUUCAUAACUUGUUUAUUUAACUAUAAAUUGUUUGGAUAUAUCAGAAAAGCACUAGAGGAUCUCAUUAGUGUCCUCUUGGGGUUUAAGUCCAGCACUUAUGGUUAUAAGUGAAAAAAUUGUACUGAUUUAUUUCACAAUACUUUGAUGAUUCUUUGUUAUCCUUUGGUUUAA
rnacentral:misc_RNA from 1 species